CUACGGGAGGCUGCAGUGAGGAAUAUUGCACAAUGGGGGGAACCCUGAUGCAGCAACGCCGCGUGGAGGAUGACACAUUUCGGUGUGUAAACUCCUUUUAUAUGUCAAGAAAAUGACGGUAGCAUAUGAAUAAGCACCGGCUAACUCCGUGCCAGCAGCCGCGGUAAUACGGAGGGUGCAAGCGUUACUCGGAAUCACUGGGCGUAAAGGACGCGUAGGCGGGUUGGAAAGUCAGGUGUGAAAUCCUACAGCUUAACUGUAGAACUGCACUUGAAACUUCUAAUCUAGAGUAUGGGAGGGGGAGAUGGAAUUAGUGGUGUAGGGGUAAAAUCCGUAGAUAUCACUAGGAAUACCUAAAGCGAAGGCGAUCUCCUGGAACAUUACUGACGCUAAGGCGUGAAAGCGUGGGGAGCAAACAGGAUUAGAUACCCGAGUAGUA
rnacentral:rRNA from 1 species